GGGACCGGAGCGCAUCCCAUCAGGACGCACGCUGGAAAUGUGGAUUAACUUCUCAGAGGAGCCGCGUUUAUUCAAAAGGACCAAAGGAUUUUUACUCACAGGGGAUUAUAACAACAACACCAACAUGUGGAGGUAUAACUUCACCGCGGUGGGAGCAGUGGAUGGAUGCUGUACUCCAGCUGUCGUCUUCGUGGACAAAACGGGAUGCACCCCUGUUUUGGAAUGUCCCGUUCCUGCUCCCAGGUCCAACUGUUGGACGAGCACAAUGACGCGUGGCCACGGUCACAUAUGACACUUUUCAUGAGCUCCUUGGUUCAUUUUGGCCCAAUGACGAAACACAUCCUUGGAUAUAGCCUGUUUGGGACCUGUGUGACGUAGUGGAUAUGGCACUUUUAACGAGCGGGAUCACCACGGUCAGUCAGCCGGGGCAAAUUUCCAGGAAAGAGGUGUGGGCCUGUGACUGACUUCUGGGUAUAUAAAGAUGACCCACAUGCGCCGCGAAGAAGCAGGUAGAACCGGAUCCUCAUAAUAGCAUUUGAAAUCCUGUCAGGACUCUGAAGAUCCAGAUGUUAGUGCCUGGCAUGAUGGCUGACAGACGGACCGCCAAAAUCUCACAAUCUGACCGGGAGGACACAGCCCAACUAGCGUAGACAUAAUUCUAUGACAUACACUUUUCUGGACAUCACAAGAUUCGUUUUAUGAGUCAGUGUUGGACAAAGGAACUGAAUCUAUGCGCACAUGGUUUAUCAGUAAAACUGGUUCUGUUCCUGUUUUUCUUUUUUACUCAAACUGUAACAUAAACAUUCAUAUUUUGGAUAACACUGAAUAAUGGAAAGUACUGCAUGUGCUGACGUCUUGGACAAGAAAUGCUACUAAGAAAGCUGUAUCAAUGAACUUAAACAGGCAACAAAG